rnacentral:rRNA from 1 species
UACGUAGGGGGCGAGCGUUGUUCGGAAUUACUGGGCGUAAAGGGCGCGUAGGCGGCCUGUUAAGUCGAACGUGAAAUCCCCAGGCUCAACCUGGGAACUGCGUCUGAUACUGGAUGGCUUGAAUUCGGGAGAGGGAUGCAGAAUUCCAGGUGUAGCGGUGAAAUGCGUAGAUAUCUGGAGGAAUACCGGUGGCGAAGGCGGCAUCCUGGACCGACAUUGACGCUGAGGAGCGAAAGCUAGGGGAGCAAACGGG